AUGUUGUAUGAAAGGAGAGAAGGUUAGCCCUCUCCUUGACAAGAAUGGAAGAGGUCCUCAGACCUUGCAACAUGCAUAUGGUUAAGGCAUUGCUGCCUAUUUUGUGGAAUCUAACCAUAGUUUUUG